rnacentral:rRNA from 1 species
CAGUAGCCGCGGGAAUACAGAGGGUGCGAGCGUUAAUCGGAUUUACUGGGCGUAAAGCGUGCGUAGGCGGCUUUUUAAGUCGGAUGUGAAAUCCCUGAGCUUAACUUAGGAAUUGCAUUCGAUACUGGGAAGCUAGAGUAUGGGAGAGGAUGGUAGAAUUCCAGGUGUAGCGGUGAAAUGCGUAGAGAUCUGGAGGAAUACCGAUGGCGAAGGCAGCCAUCUGGCCUAAUACUGACGCUGAGGUACGAAAGCAUAGGGAGCAAACAGGAUUAGAUACCCCUGUAGUCCCUGUCUCUUAUAC